UACGAAGGGGGCUAGCGUUGUUCGGAAUUACUGGGCGUAAAGCGCACGUAGGCGGGUUUGUAAGUAGGGGGUGAAAUCCCCGGGCUCAACCCGGGAACUGCCUUCUAGACUGCAAGCCUGGAGGUCAGGAGAGGCGAGUGGAAUUCCGAGUGUAGAGGUGAAAUUCGUAGAUAUUCGGAGGAACACCAGUGGCGAAGGAGACUCGCUGGACUGAUAAUGACGUUGAGGUGCGAAAGCGUGGGGAGCAAACAGG
rnacentral:rRNA from 1 species